rnacentral:rRNA from 1 species
CACGUAGGGCGCAAGCGUUGUCCGGAAUUAUUGGGCGUAAAGAGCUCGUAGGCGGACUGUCACGUCUGCUGUGAAAAGCUAGGGCUUAACCCUGGCCUUGCAGUGGAUACGGGCAGACUAGGGGUAGGUAGGGGAGAAUGGAAUUCCCGGUGUAGCGGUGAAAUGCGCAGAUAUCGGGAGGAACACCGGUGGCGAAGGCGGGUCUCUGGGCAAUACUGACGCUGAGGAGCGAAAGCGUGGGGAGCGAACAGG